rnacentral:lncRNA from 1 species
CAGCGCUCAAAAUUUCCUAACACCUAAUUCUCUUUCUGCACUUCAUGUUUUAACUGUCAUGAUCUAACGGAAAAGGAGUCCCCACAUGGAUAUUUGGGCUGGACUGAGUCUCUCUAACAUCCUCGGAGAGGCCAGAAGUCUUUUUCCAGCUCAUAUGCUGAGGCUCUGAUCUGACAUGGAGAGAUGUUCCAGGAGUUGCUCUGCAGAGAUUAACUUCAUCUGAAGGCAGCUGAAAAUGCAAGAAAAUAAGCUAGAAAAUAGGUCUCUAGCAGUCUGCCUGAGUCACACAGAAUCACAUGCAAAGCUGAGCAGAGCCUCACAAUGCAAGCAAGAGGUCCUCAAGUGGAGCAGAAGAGGAAUUCCACCCCAAACAAACCCCCUCACAGUGAUUUGUCAAAGAUUAGAAGCCCUCGAGCUGUGUAGAGCUUGAAGGAGUGGGCUUUGGCUGGCUCUCAGUAUUGAAUUUAGAAGGAAGGAAGAAAACGAUGCCUGAUAAAUGCAUUAACAUCUGAAGGAACUAGGAAAUCUGGGUACAGUGUGUGUGGUCAAGAAGAGGCAGCAUGAAGCUGUUGUAUUCUGCAUGGGUAGUCAGGAUACCAUAUGAACAUUUUAAAAUUAUUAAGUGAG